UGACCUGAGAUUGGGUAGGGAUACCCGCUGAACUUAA
rnacentral:rRNA from 1 species